CGAGCGGUCCGGAUGGUCGCGACGCCGAAAGGCGGCGAGGAAGGUCGGGGCUGCAGAGGGCAGGGUGGCGGGUAACGCCCGUCCGCCGCGAGGCGAGGACCAGCGCCACAGUGACGAUGCCGCCGAGAGGCGGAGUGAAACGCGGCAAGCUCCACCCGCAGCAAGAUCGAAUAGAGGGACCAUGGCGUGGCCCGCGCCGUCCCUGGGUCGAUCGCUAGAGGCGGAGGGUGACCUCCGAUCCCCAGAAGGAUGACCGUCACCCCGCAAGGGGGACAGGACCCCGCCUACAGGGCCGCUCGACAU
rnacentral:RNase_P_RNA from 3 species